rnacentral:rRNA from 1 species
CAGCACCUCAAGUGGUCAGGAUGAUUAUUGGGCCUAAAGCAUCCGUAGCCGGCGCUGUAAGUUUUCGGUUAAAUCUGUACGCUCAACGUACAGGCUGCCGGGAAUACUGCAGCGCUAGGGAGUGGGAGAGGUAGGCGGUACUCGGUAGGAAGGGGUAAAAUCCUUUGAUCUAUUGAUGACCACCUGUGGCGAAGGCGGUCUACCAGAACACGUCCGACGGUGAGGGAUGAAAGCUGGGGGAGCAAACCGGAUUAGAUACCCGAGUAGUCC